rnacentral:rRNA from 1 species
AGGCUUUGAAGUGUGGACGCCAGUCUGCAUGGAGCCGACCUUGAAAUACCACCCUUUAAUGUUUGAUGUUCUAACGUGGACCCGUAAUCCGGGUUGCGGACAGUGUCUGGUGGGUAGUUUGACUGGGGCGGUCUCCUCCUAAAGAGUAACGGAGGAGCACGAAGGUUGGCUAAUCCUGGUCGGACAUCAGGAGGUUAGUGCAAUGGCAUAAGCCAGCUUGACUGCGAGCGUGACGGCGCGAGCAGGUGCGAAAGCAGGUCAUAGUGAUCCGGUGGUUCUGAAUGGAAGGGCCAUCGCUCAACGGAUAAAAGGUACUCCGGGGAUAACAGGCUGAUACCGCCCAAGAGUUCAUAUCGACGGCGGUGUUUGGCACCUCGAUGUCGGCUCAUCACAUCCUGGGGCUGAAGUAGGUCCCAAGGGUAUGGCUGUUCGCCAUUUAAAGUGGUACGCGAGCUGGGUUUAGAACGUCGUGAGACAGUUCGGUCCCUAUCUGCCGUGGGCGCUGGAGAACUGAGGGGGGCUGCUCCUAGUACGAGAGGACCGGAGUGGACGCAUCACUGGUGUUCGGGUUGUCAUGCCAAUGGCACUGCCCGGUAGCUAAAUGCGGAAGAGAUAAGUGCUGAAAGCAUCUAAGCACGAAACUUGCCCCGAGAUGAGUUCUCCCUGAGACUUAGAGUCUCCUGAAGGAACGUUGAAGACGACGACGUUGAUAGGCCGGGUGUGUAAGCGCAGCGAUGCGUUGAGCUAACCGGUACUAAUGAACCGUGAGGCUUAACCUUACA